rnacentral:lncRNA from 1 species
UUUUUUCUUUAUAUUCUAUAGUUUUGCUAAUUUUUCACAAAAAUAUGCAUUAUUUUUAUUAUUAAAAAAUCAUGUUGGGCCGGGCACAGUGGCUCACAUCUUUAAUCCCAGCAUUUUGGGAGGCCGAGGCGGGCACAUCACAAGGUCAGGAGAUAGAGACCAGCCUGGCUAAUGUGGUGAAACCCCAUCUCUACUAAAAAUACAAAAAAUUAGCCAGGUGUGGUGGCGGGCACCUGUAAUCCCAGCUACUUGGGAGGCUGAGGCAGGAGACUUGAUUGAACCCGGGAGGCGGAGGUUGCAGUGAGCCAAGAUCGGCCACUGCACUCCAGCCUGGGCAACAGAGUGAGACCAUGUCUCAAAAAAAAAAAAAAAAAAUCAUGUUAUAAAAAUGUUAUAUGUUAUAUAUAAUUAUACAAAUACCAGAACUUUCUUCUUUAAAAUAUUUUCUGCAGACCCCUUUUAUGUGCAUAAAAUAAAAUCCCUACCCAACCUCACGCUGCUAUCUUGAUCGACUCUCACCCCCACAAUUAAUUUGUUAUUAUUAUUUUGAUGAAUAUUCUGCAAAACCUUUUUCUGUAAAUGUAGAAACUGUUCAACUCAUUCAUAUUUUUAUUUUAUGAAAAUAAGAUUGCAAUAUAUAAAUUGUUCUGAAAUUUAAUGUUUUCACUGAGCAAAAUAUCAUGGCCAUUUCUGUGUGUCAGGAUACGGGGAUCUAUGAGCCCUUUCUUGACGGCUGUAGUCUGACUAUUCCAGAGUGUGGCUGGUCUCGAACUUAUUUGCCCUUUGCCCUAUCUUUCCAUGUUUUUAUUAUCCCUUGGUGGCUUCAACACCCCUGUGCAGACUGUCUUGCCCCCUGGUGAGUAUAGGAGGCCUCUCUAAAGGUAAUAGUGUAUAUGAGGUUUUUUUUAAUGUGGCUUUUGCCAUUUUGUCCCUUAAAAAUGGAUGUAUCGAUUUUCCAGCUUCUAGUAACUGAUAUUCUUUAAAUGAGAUUCCAAGCUUCAACUCACAGAUUGAGGAAUCUGGCAGACCAUCUGGUGCAGUGCCUUUAUUUCACAGAUAAACUGAGAGCCGGGAGAGAGACUCCACCCUAGGCACAGUGCCGGUGAGGGACUGAGCCAGGAUGCUGCCCAUAGCACCCCACUUCUGGACCCAUCUAGAAGCCACUACGCUAGCAGGACUCAGAAACCAUUGUCCUUGUGCUUCCCUCAGCCUGGAAAAUUGAUCCCACCACCAAAGUGGAAAAUCACUCAUCCUUUGGGUCUUCAUCUAGAUGUCACCUCCUCCAGGAAGCCUUCCCUGAUUUUCCCAAAGGCUGGCUUGGACACAUGUCCUCCACUGUGCUCCCUCAGGCCUGGCCUUUCCAUGCUGUGUCCCAGUUGCCUGUCGGGUAACCUCCCCACUGGGCUGGAAGCUCAGGGAGGUGGGGGUGGGUGGGCAGGGUGUGCUUGUCAGUCUGUUUCAUGUGUCCCUGCUGAAAGCUUCCCUGUCAAUCAUUCAUCUGUUCAAGAAAUAGCUUUGUGCCAGGUGCUAGGUGCCGGGGAGAGAAGGCAGGAGCACUCCUGACCAGUGUCGGGCCUUCAGGAAUGCUAAGCACUGCUCUAAGAAGCUGAGAGCCAUGCUGAAGUUUGGCAUGCUGACUGCCACCGUGAGCCUUUGCCACAGGUGUGCCCAGCCAGUCUCCCAACAUCCCUUCAAGGCAGGCUGUGUUCCACACUUUUUAUAGAUGGGAUCUGAGGCUCCAAGAGCGACACUGAGGACACACAGCUGGGUCUGCCGGCCUCCUAGGCCCCCAGCAUCUCAGCAAAACCCCCAGAUGGCCAGGAGAAGCACCAGCCUGAGAUGAGAGAGAGAGGCUGCACCAGGGAAAGGGGUGCCCGUAGAAGAGGAGGCCUGGCGGUCCAGUCCAAAGUUCACUGUGGGUUAUCUGUGCACCUUGGGAAAUUCACAUAACCUCUCUGAUCCUCAGUUAUUUCAUGUGAACAACAGCUUUCAUUAACACCUGUCGUACACUACUAGGAGGCCUUAUUUUCUCAACCAAAGCCUAUGCCGUAUGGUGGAACAAGUCUAAUCUUACAGUAGCAGCGGAAGAGUGAACAUGAAUGCUGAGUCCUCAGGGCCUCAGGCUGUGGGAUGUAUGACUGGCACCCCGGGUUGUGGACAGGCCUGUAGCAGGCCUGGGUUGGGGGCAGGUAGCAAUGGAAAGGGGCUCCAGGAACACAGCCCCAUUGAGGGGAACUUGAGGGGGCCCAGCAGAGGCGGGGGUGAACGCGGCCUGAGCCAACCAGCCCU